rnacentral:rRNA from 1 species
UGUCGUCAGCUCGUGUUGUGAAAUGUUGGGUUAAGUCCCGCAACGAGCGCAACCCUUAUCCUUUGUUGCCAGCGGUCCGGCCGGGAACUCAAAGGAGACUGCCAGUGAUAAACUGGAGGAAGGUGGGGAUGACGUCAAGUCAUCAUGGCCCUUACGACCAGGGCUACACACGUGCUACAAUGGCGCAUACAAAGAGAAGCGACCUCGCGAGAGCAAGCGGACCUCAUAAAGUGCGUCGUAGUCCGGAUUGGAGUCUGCAACUCGA